ACAAUGAUAAUAAUAUCAAUAAUAAUAUUAAUAAUAAUAUUAUCACAUAGUAAUAAUAUUGAUAAUUAUAGUAAAAAUUCUAAAUGUAAUACUUCACCGAACGUCUAAGUCACGACCUCACGGCUGACAGUUGGAUUAAUCGAGGGUCUCCGCAGAACAAACAAUGACGAUCAAGCUUCGUGUUGUGACACAGUGGCCGUAUCUUACACGCGACCUUGUAGAUGCCACUUGUAGUUGACUUCCACUCGUUCGAUCGUCUGGUGGUCCGUGCUGCUAGCGGGGUAACAGCGGUGCGGGAGAAUUAUUCUUGCUGAUAUAUCACUGGCGGGGUAGCCUGCCCCUACCAGUGUGCAGAUGAUUCUGCCGAUAUACAACAGGCUAUUGUUAUCGCGCAACACAAGAACUAAUCGACAAAAAAAAACACCCGUACGAUAACUCGUGUAUUGUUAUUUUGCAAACUCAAACGGAGAUAAACAAUUUGCGUCUAAUCGAGACGAAAGCAAAACAACGAGAUAUUUGUUGUAGUUGUUAACAAAACAUUCUAGAAUGCAUUGGUGUAUUUUGGAUCGAAUUCUUUGCUUAAAUGUGUGCGUUACAAGCUUGAGAACAAAAAAGCAUCAUUUUUUGGCACAAUCUCACCCCGGAUGACGGUACCAUACACGAUUGAUUCCCUUAUAGUAUCUUAACCAUUUAUAAAAAAGUCACAUAACCAUUUACAUACCAUUUCAGCUUUAGUUUUACCCAUCUAGUUAAUAGUAAACUGAGAAAUAACCAUUUGGUGAACUAGGCGUUAGGCUGCGAGGGGCGCUGUUUUGCAUUCGUCGUGCAAUGUCGACUUCAACUUCGUUCUGCUCGGAGAUACUGGAAAGAAAAAAAUAUUGUAUAAAUACUAAAGCCGGAAGAUUUGUGACCAAUUUGAUUACCUUCCAUUAUAGUUUGACAAAAACCUGCAACUACAGCGUUUGCUGGUAGAUGUCUCUUCGUUUCUCGAUGGAGCUUCAACCGUUGAAGGUGUGGUGAACAAAUAGUGCUCACUAUCCUAUUUGGGGAUACUGAAUAUAAUAUUGUAGCUCAAUAGUUUAAGUCAUUCAAUUUAGUACAGUAAUAACUGAUAAAAGAUAUUAUCACGAACAGUUACCAUACUUCAUUAAGUACAGUUAAAGUCCUUACCGCUUCAGCAAUGGUUUUUGAUUAUGCGGGUUGUGAGUUUUUGGUUUAUUUAAUAAGAUUCCUUCAGAAUCUCCUUUUACAUUUCAAUAUUGUUAGAUGAUAUAUUGUUAUUCUAUGCUUUACCGUAAUAAACGUAUAUUAGCUGUUUCCGUAAUGCAGCGAAUACAGUUGUAGGCAAAUGAUAAAAAUUGUCAAGCAAAAAACAAAAAUGGAAUUGUUAAUUGCUACGAUUUUUGCUAAAACUUGUUAAUAAUCUUGUUUAACAUAUCUUUUAUGUUUGCCAUUUAAUGAACCUUUGUAAGGGCUUCCAUGUUAUUUUGAAAAUAAGAUUCAUAUUAUAGAUUUGAUUUAAUCAGAGCUAAAUAAGACAAAACCAUUCAUUAUGAUAACGUAAGUAUUAUUGGAUUUGAUUUUUGAGGAUAUAGAUCUGACGCAUUACGAGAAAUUCUUGGUUCUACUUCAACAAGCACGAUAUGCUUGUUCCUUGUCAAACACAUGUUGUUUGCACAAAAAAUACUACAUGCAUAAUAUCGCCAAAUAUAAUCGAUAUUCUUUCGAGUGUUGUUGAAUAGAUUUCAAAAAUCGAUUUCCAGGGGACGCUAAAAAUAAAAAAAAGUACAGUCGCUGAGCAAACACAUUGAUUCUAUCUGCAGUCUCUGUAUAUUUUGUAACAAAAAAUCCCCUUAUUACAGUGUUCAGUCCCACGUCACCGUUUCAUACAACCCUAGGGCUGUAUACCUUGUAGUAUUUUAAAAUCUGGAUGUUAUAACAAACAUAACACUGGUCAACACAGGUACGGCCCUAGAGAUCAAACUUGAAAAAUACAACAUAGGUUUUCAGCCAUUCCUGUAAAUUUUGGUAUCCCCAGCCACUAACAUUUUUUCAGAGUAUUACCUGCCACCCCAACACUUCAAUUCGUGUUGUGGCCAAAAGGCUUGGAGUUUCGAGAUUGUACGUCCAGAAGGACAAGGUUAGAAGUGUAUUAUAUACGUACAAGGUUCAAAAGUUCAAAAAUUGCGAUGGAAGCCGACAAACAACUGCCAAAACCCGUGUCAGACCGCUCUACACAAACCUUUUCACGAAAAGCAGAUGUUGUGUAUUGGACGAUGAAACGUAUGUUCAAGCUCAUUUCAAACAUCUACUAGGGUAGGAGUUUUUCACUGGAGAAGAUAAAUUUAAAGUGGAUGAUCGUUUAAAGAAGGAGGAAGUGUCCAAGUGCGCUGCCAAAAACCUGAUUUGGUAGGCUAUCUGCACCUGUGGGAAGUGAAGGCAAGUUUAUGUCACAAAAAGUUUGUUAGCAUGUUUUCUAUGUGUGAUAGCAUGUUUUCUGUGUUGCAAUAAUUUCUUCGGGACAGCACUUUUUUCGCUUUUGUCGACCAGUGUUAUUUAACUUACACUUUCCUGCAAGACUUCUUUCAACGAUGAUGACAGUUUCUUAAUAGCGAGUGCAGGACGAUGAAAAAUGCAGUGCUGUCUGUGUGUGUGUUUUUUGCCUUUUUUUUAAUUCUUCUCACGACUCCAGAAAUACUUCCAACCAUAACUUUCGCACCGGCACUUGGUUUUUAAUAAAUAACUAACACUUUAAUCUUUUGUCUCACGUCUACAUUUUAGAUUUAGUAAAUCAGGAAAUAAAGGGUGAAUUACCAAUUUUCCUCAGUCUAUGUCGGUUGUAAUGUUUUAAACUGCCAUCCUUUUUCUAGUAAGCUGCCUAUUUUCAUUUAUUAUUUUUCUAUCAUACUUUCCUACUUUGUAUCUUAUUGGAAAAAAAUGAGAAGAGACACAAAAAGUUUAACGGAGCUUCUAAAUUUAAUCUAGUCUAGUCUAGUCUACACUAAUACAGCCAGUACUUGAAAGGAUACUGGAAAAUGAUAUCCACCAUUUAAAAAUAAAUGGUUUCCAUACAUUUUUCUUUUCAACGGCCAGGCCUACUGUGUAGCGCAAUACAUUACAAUAUAAUCUAUGAUCGGGGACAAUCCGUACCAACCGAUCUUAACGGAGCUUCUAAAUUUAAUUGUAAAAAAGCCACUCUUACAGUUCCUUUUUGGUCAAGCCAUUUCCAUUGUAGUCAGUAUUUGGUUUAGUUCGUCAGUAGCAGAGAGAGAAAGAAAGCUUGUAAAACGAUACUCGUUUCAUCUAGUUUCAUUGCUAUGAAUUGCAAAUAAACGUUCUUCGUUAUUCCGCCAUUCAAAGUAUAAGUAGAAUUCUGACGCCAUAAAUUGUACACGCUCGUAAAUAGUAACUCUAAAAUGAGUAACAUUUGACGCAUUUUCGUAAAAGUGGAACAACUCUUAAAUUGAGUAACUCCACAAAUACGCAAAACUGAGUAACACUACACGCAAAACUUUUCCUUAUUACUUUAGAAGCAAUAGCGCAAAAUUACCUAUUAGGUAACAAAUCCAUUACUUAAAAAGCAAUAAAAUUCUUCCCCAGUCAAGUAACAACACAUACUGUCAUAUAUUUAGCACGUGUUAUGAAGGUACGACUAUCUAAUAAUGGUCUUUUCCACCACAUGCAACGUUUUUUCUGUCGAAAAAUGCUCCCUUUCCACCUCAAGUCAAAAAAAAUCACACACCGUCGCAUAAGUUGCACAUGUUACAAGUUUUUUCAAUCUCCAAUUCAUCCGGUGGGCGUGUAUUAGUUCGCUCGUUGUAUGCAUACGGAGUAGCGAAAAAAUAUGACAACAGCUGCCAAGCAACAUUUUCCCCGUCAUAAAGUAUGCAUUCUUUGAUGAUUUCAAUGACUUGAAAUGGGCCUUAAAAUGACAUCACGAUCUGUAAACUGCGUUAGAGAAAAAUAAAAACAUUCGCUUUCUUGCAAGCUAUUUACAGCACAUAAUCAUUGGUUCAUGGAAACUCAUUUGGACCUGUUUGAAUAUACAAAACUCGUGCCCUUCCAGAACAAUAUUCGCAACUUCGGCAACUCUGGUCAGACAGUAUCACAUAUUUCUAUUUCAAGUAAACACUGGGGGACGAAACGAAAGUGUUUCUAAUUGGACAUUUGAGGUUGACGGUUGAGAUUCUGAUUAUGUGUGGAUGAAGGGAGACAAAAAUGAACCAGAUCGUUGCAUCAAUACAAAUGCAGCGAGUGAAGUCUUGCCAACACAUGCAUUGCGGUGCUUGGCUGUAUGUUCUCCUGCAGAAACACAUACAAGCGUGUGACCGUCAUAAUUUUUAUUACUUUUUGUUUGUUACUUUUUGUGUAUAAUGCGCAGUCAUAAGACACAAAAAGUAAUAAAAAAUUGCCCGAAAGUAAUAAAAUAUUGAUGAUUUCAAUGACUUGAAAUGGGCCUUAAAAUGACAUCACGAACUGUAAACUGCGUUAGAGAAAAAUAAAAACAUUCGCUUUCUUGCAAGCUAUUUACAGCACAUAAUCAUUGGUUCAUGGAAACUCAUUUGGACCUGUUUGAAUAUACAAAACUCGUGCCCUUCCAGAACAAUAUUCGCAAUCUCGGCAACUCUGGUCAGACAGUAUUACAUAUUUCCAUUUCAAGUAAAUCGUUGCAUCAAUACAAAUGCAGCGAGUGAAGUCUUGCCAACACAUGCAUUGCGGUGCUUGGCUGUAUGUUCUCCUGCAGAAACACAUACAAGCGUGUGGCCGUCAUAAUUUUUAUUACUUUUUGUUUGUUACUUUUUGUGUAUAAUGCGCAGUCAUAAGACACAAAAAGUAAUAAAAAAUUGCCCGAAAGUAAAAAAAUAUUCCCCGUUUGCGUUGGGUGUAGGCGUCUUUAAAAUGAGUCAUUAUUACUCAAAAUUUGAGUACAACAUUACUCAUCUUUUGGGUACAGUUCAGUUUCAUUACUGGCUAGAAAUCCGCCACGGCCAAUAAACGACACCACAUGUUCAUCAAUAAUUACCUUGUAAUAAAAGUAAACAGUUAUAAUGCCUUCUGAGGCGCACACAAUUAAAAAACAUAUGUCACAAACUGAAGCACAUCGUAAUCAUCUUUCAAAAUGGACGUCGGUAUAUGCGACGUUACUCAGAAAGAAGUUAUAUGAAGGGAACCCAAAAAGUGAGUCAAAGUUACUCAAAAUCAAAAAGGACUUCUACUCAUUUUUUGACGUCUACGAACAUCGUUCUAAACUGAGUCAGAGUUGCUCAGUUCAUGAGUUAUUAUUUACGAGCGUGUACGAGCAAAUUAAUGCUAGUGAUGUCAUAAUUAUAUUUUUGUAUAUGUAGGGGAAAGUAGGUAAAGACGGACACCCUAAGAUAUUUGUAUUUGUAUUUGUAUUUGUAUAUGUAUUUGAAUAAUCCAUCUGACAAUAAAUAGUCUUAAUGAAUAAAUUUACUAA